GACGAACGCUGGCGGCGUGCCUAAUACAUGCAAGUAGAACGCACAGUUUAUACCGUAGCUUGCUACACCAUAGACUGUGAGUUGCGAACGGGUGAGUAACGCGUAGGUAACCUGCCUGGUAGCGGGGGAUAACUAUUGGAAACGAUAGCUAAUACCGCAUAAUAUUAAUUAUUGCAUGAUAAUUAAUUGAAAGGUGCAAUUGCACCACUACCAGAUGGACCUGCGUUGUAUUAGCUAGUAGGUGAGGUAACGGCUCACCUAGGCGACGAUACAUAGCCGACCUGAGAGGGUGAUCGGCCACACUGGGACUGAGACACGGCCCAGACUCCUACGGGAGGCAGCAGUAGGGAAUCUUCGGCAAUGGACGAAAGUCUGACCGAGCAACGCCGCGUGAGUGAAGAAGGUUUUCGGAUCGUAAAGCUCCGUUGUAAGAGAAGAACGGGUGUGAGAGUGGAAAGUUCACACUGUGACGGUAUCUUACCAGAAAGGGACGGCUAACUACGUA
rnacentral:rRNA from 1 species